rnacentral:misc_RNA from 1 species
AGCAGCCGCGGUAAUUCCAGCUCCAAUAGCGUAUAUUAAAGUUGUUGCAGUUAAAAGCUCGUAGUUGAACUUCGGGGUUCACCCAUUGGUCAGGCUUAAUUGUCUGUACUGGUGAGAUGAGUCUCUACCUUCUGAGGAACUUUCAUGCCAUUUAUUUGGUGUGAUGGGAAAUCAGGACUGUUACUUUGAAAAAAUUAGAGUGUUUAAAGCAGGCUCACGCUUGAAUACAUUAGCAUGGAAUAAUGAAAUAGGACGUUUGAUUCUAUUUUGUUGGUUUCUAGGAUCGACGUAAUGAUUAAUAGGGAUAGUUGGGGGCAUUAGUAUUCAAUUGUCAGAGGUGAAAUUCUUGGAUUUAUUGAAGACUAACUACUGCGAAAGCAUUUGCCAAGGAUGUUUUCAUAAUCAAGAACGAAAGUUAGGGGAUCGAAGACGAUCAGAUACCGUCGUAGUCUUAACCAUAAACUAUGCCGACUAGGGAUCGGAUGAUGUUAAUUUUUUUAAUGACUCAUUCGGCGCCUUA